UACGGAGGGUGCAAGCGUUAUCCGGAAUCACUGGGUUUAAAGGGUGCGUAGGCGGCUUGGUAAGUCAGGGGUGAAAGCUUCCCGCUCAACGGGAGAACUGCCCUUGAUACUGCCAGGCUCGAAUUGGGUUGAGGCAGGCGGAAUGUGGCAUGUAGCGGUGAAAUGCUUAGAUAUGCCAUAGAACACCAAUUGCGAAGGCAGCUUGCCAAACCUCGAUUGACGCUGAGGCACGAAAGCGUGGGGAGCAAACAGG
rnacentral:rRNA from 1 species